CCCAUAUCUUACAGAAACAGCUUUCUAAUGCUUGUAUGCAGUUUUUCAGUAGCACAAGGUAGAUU
rfam:Camelus ferus unplaced genomic scaffold scaffold1838, whole genome shotgun sequence.